rnacentral:rRNA from 1 species
UUGCUCCUACGGGACGCAGCAGUGGGGAAUAUUGCACAAUGGGGGAAACCCUGAUGCAGCGACGCCGCGUGAGUGAAGAAGUAUUUCGGUAUGUAAAGCUCUAUCAGCAGGGAAGAAAAUGACGGUACCUGACUAAGAAGCCCCGGCUAACUACGUGCCAGCAGCCGCGGUAAUACGUAGGGGGCAAGCGUUAUCCGGAUUUACUGGGUGUAAAGGGUGCGUAGGUGGCAGGGCAAGUCGGAUGUGAA